AAAUUGAAGAGUUUGAUCAUGGCUCAGAUUGAACGCUGGCGGCAGGCCUAACACAUGCAAGUCGAACGGUAACAGGAAGCAGCUUGCUGCUUCGCUGACGAGUGGCGGACGGGUGAGUAAUGUCUGGGAAACUGCCUGAUGGAGGGGGAUAACUACUGGAAACGGUGGCUAAUACCGCAUAACGUCGCAAGACCAAAGAGGGGGACCUUCGGGCCUCUUGCCAUCAGAUGUGCCCAGAUGGGAUUAGCUUGUUGGUGAGGUAAUGGCUCACCAAGGCGACGAUCCCUAGCUGGUCUGAGAGGAUGACCAGCCACACUGGAACUGAGACACGGUCCAGACUCCUACGGGAGGCAGCAGUGGGGAAUAUUGCACAAUGGGCGCAAGCCUGAUGCAGCCAUGCCGCGUGUAUGAAGAAGGCCUUCGGGUUGUAAAGUACUUUCAGCGGGGAGGAAGGUGUUGCGGUUAAUAACCGCAGCAAUUGACGUUACCCGCAGAAGAAG
rnacentral:rRNA from 1 species